rnacentral:rRNA from 1 species
UACGUAGGGCGCAAGCGUUGUCCGGAAUUAUUGGGCGUAAAGAGCUCGUAGGCGGUUUGUCGCGUCUGCUGUGAAAACCUAAGGCUCAACCUUGGGCUUGCAGUGGGUACGGGGCAGACUAGAGUGCGGUAGGGGUGACUGGAAUUCCUGGUGUAGCGGUGGAAUGCGCAGAUAUCAGGAGGAACACCGAUGGCGAAGGCAGGUCACUGGGCCGCAACUGACGCUGAGGAGCGAAAGCAUGGGGAGCGAACAGG